CAGCAUGCUUGUGCUCAAUUGCAGGGUCCUCGUUCUCGAGUGUGCAGAGGGCGGUGAGAGCUCAACUCUCGUCCCCACCUCCCACCCGCAGCUCCCCGGGUGGGUGAGGGAUGCCCUGGACUGGGGAUAGCCAGGUGGGAGUCCGUCGCUGUGUGGCCUGUGGUCUCGGAGUCUGUUCUCCUGGAGUCUCGCAUUUGCACCCCCUUCUUCGCAGUCCCCCUCCCAUAGACUUGCUCUGGGAAGCGCCUCUGCCUCCGACCCUAGCCGGAACCCCUUCGGGGCCAGAGUUUGAAGCCGUGGAUGUGCCUGCCUGGUGGCUUGUCCGAUUUGCACGGUGACUUGAUUACACUCUCUCAUUCAUGGUCACUUCCGAAGCGCUUUAGUGCCUUCCGUCCCUAAACCGCCAACAGCCAGAACGGCUUCUCCCCGCGGUUUGUCACUGAUCCGCAGGGCCCGGAAGGGCCUUCGUCUUACCCGGGAUCCACCUCUCCCCUCAUCUUCCCUGCCUACCUCUUCAUCCCACCUUCUGUCCUUGGAGAAACUCCCUCCUCCUCGCUGCCUGCCGGGCUUCGGAGUGACUCGGCAGAGACAGAGGCACAGGGGCUGCCCUGCUGCUCACCGGUCCACCCAUCUGCCUGGUCUUCUGGAGCUGAGGACUCGGGAAACCAUGCAAUUGAGGCAAGCCUUGGGCUGCUUUAGAGGCGCUGACAUCCGAGGAGACUUCUCCUGGGAUUGAAGGAGCAAUGUUUGGAGGAAGCGAAAGAAAGGAGAGGACACAGAGCACAGAGCAGCCAGGCAGAGCCAGGAGCUGAGAAGGGCCCAGACCUGAGGCCUCCCAACAACUCUCUUCUUGGAAGGAUCUGGGAUGUUGCUGAAGGAAAAUAAAAAAAUAUGUAAAAAGAUAACCUUUUGUUUUUCCCUCUCCAGGAAAUAGCCAAAGUUAUUUACAUAUCUUGGGGAGAUUUAGAGUAUAAACUCUAAGAUCUUUGGUAUUUAAGUGUCAACAUCGAUUUAUUUAUUUAUUGCUGAGCUGACUGUAACUGACUCAAUAACAAAUCUAAUCGUGUAUUGCACUGGAAAAGAAAUAUUCUUAUUAUGUAUUUUCUCCAAAUAAUGGCCUACCAUUGCAUUUGAAUACCUGCUGUAAAUAUCAAUAAUAUGAAGUAAUUACUCUGUAGUCGAGUAAACUAAUUUAUUAGCA
rnacentral:lncRNA from 1 species